rnacentral:rRNA from 1 species
AGAGUUUGAUCCUGGCUCAGGAUGAACGCUAGCGGCAGGCUUAACACAUGCAAGUCGAGGGGCAGCAUAAUGGAUAGCAAUAUCUAUGGUGGCGACCGGCGCACGGGUGCGUAACGCGUAUGCAACCUACCUUUAACAGGGGGAUAACGCUGAGAAAUUGGUACUAAUACCCCAUAAUAUCAUAGAAGGCAUCUUUUAUGGUUGAAAAUUCCGAUGGUUAGAGAUGGGCAUGCGUUGUAUUAGCUAGUUGGUGGGGUAACGGCUCACCAAGGCGACGAUACAUAGGGGGACUGAGAGGUUAACCCCCCACACUGGUACUGAGACACGGACCAGACUCCUACGGGAGGCAGCAGUGAGGAAUAUUGGUCAAUGGACGCAAGUCUGAACCAGCCAUGCCGCGUGCAGGAUGACGGCUCUAUGAGUUGUAAACUGCUUUU